UUUCUCAGCCUCUUCGUUUAUCAAGUUCCAAAAUCAACCAAAGCCUUAACUUUGAACACACCCAUUUGCAAUUUUGGUAAUUUUUUUUUUUUUUUAAUUUAUGUUUCCAGGCACAACCCACUUGAAUACUAAUUGUUUUCGUAGCCCCAUCACGUUUUGUAUUCCAAUCACGCUUAAAUUUAGAAAUAGUAUUGGCUAUUCUAGGCUUUGUAUUAUUGAAAUUUUUGUUGUUGUUAUUAUUAUUGGCUAUUGUUGUUGUGUCGUGUGAGAACUGAGUUUUCUUUUCUAUGGUUAUGUAUAUUAUGGUUGCUUUGUUGAGUAUUCACACACUGAAUCUAGAUUACAGGAACUAUAUUCUUAUUUUAAAAUUUUUGUAAUUUAGGACUUUUGAUUUAUAGAAGUUAUUAUUAUUUAAAAACUUUCAUCAAUUAUUAAUACUAUUUGGGUUGUUGGUUUUAAUUAAGGUUGAAUGAUGAGAAAAAACAGAGCAUGAUUGAAGACAUCUACAACACCAAGAAGCAGAAAAGGCGGAGAAAUAAUUGAAAGGGUUUUUUGGUAUUGGUAUUGGCGGAGGAAUUUGGGUUAGGGGAGAGAGUUGGAGAGAGAUCUAUGGGAGACCCUUCACUACUGUCAAACCAGUCCCCUCUAAUACUGAUGAAGAGAUUACUGUAUUAAUUGUUAAUCUGACACAACCGGAUGAAGCAUGGAGUCGAAUAUUAUGUAUAUGAGAUUGUUCUGUUGAAGGAUGGGAGGGAGGAAGGUGCUAAGCAAAUACUACUCACCUGUCCAACCUAGAGGCUUGAGGGGUCAAUCACGCAUGAUGCUUCCCAUAAGUAGAUGUUAUUGGUGACAAUUAUUUAGGUAUUCGAAGGUUCUGAUUCUACUGCAAAUGUACAGAUGCUUUGCUGAGCUUACCAUCAAGACUGACCCACAAAAUUUCAACUAUAUUGUUGAGUCUGGUGCUACCAGAAAUUUUGAACUUGUGUGAAGAUGAUGAGGCAGCAGAGACAAUAACCAUAAAGGAGAAGUUGGAGAGAUGGAAGAUGCAAUGAAAUCUUUAGAGAACAAAAACCUUGGAUUUGGAAAGAAAAAUGGACAUCAUUACUACACUGGAUGGGAUGAAAUCUAUGAAGGUAUUAUUUGCUUUACCAAUUCUAUUUUUAUUUAUUAAGGUAGGCUAUCAUCUCAUAGUGUCACAAAUGGAAUCUUUAAGUCUUAAAUAGAUUGUGUAAAUUUAAGAUUACGUGAUGAUAGAUCAAAGUAGAAGGCCGUGAACGUUCUCUCUGGUCUUUCAGGUAUAUGUUUUUAUUUUUUGGGAUGCUCUUCAAAGCAUAUACUUGGUUAUGUGAAGGCAAUGUUGCUUUUAAAAUUUCCUUCAAAUUCACUCACUUUCUUAAAGUAAUUUUUUUUUUCUUCAGUUUAUAAUAUUUGGGUCUUUACUUUUCAUUCAACUUUUAUGGGUGCAGUUCUUUUUUUUUUUGUAUUUCAUGGACUUAAUCGGCAGACAAGGUACCCCCACAUGGUACUACUCUUUCUUAUCAAUUUUCAGCUUCAAUCUUCUUGGGUUUAAUCCUUAUUCAAAUAUGUUAAAACUUUUAAGGUUUUUGUUUUAAUUGGUGGUAGUUGAGAAUUGAGUGAGGAUCUUGCAAAAUAUGCGAAAGUGUUAGAAGUAGGGGCUAAUGGAUUGGGCUAUGAGCUGCUAAAAGACUUGGCUCUAUCAGGUUUCCAUUAUUGGCUUCAAGGCUCUUUAUUCUAUGCAUUUUCUUAUGAGACAUUUUGGCUCUAUCUUUGUAUUCAAUAUUGAAGUUAAGGUAGUUAGAUGUAUAGUUUAGUGAUUUAGGGGGGUGGAUGAAAAUUGUAAGUGAAUAUGAUACUUGGUAGAUUCUUUCAAACAUUGUUCUUUCAAUUGGAGUGACUAAUUGGUUGCUAUA